rnacentral:rRNA from 1 species
UACGGAGGGUGCGAGCGUUGUCCGGAAUCAUUGGGCGUAAAGGGCGCGUAGGUGGCCCGGUCAGUUCGUGGUGAAAGCGCGGGGCUCAACCCUGCGUCGGCCAUGAAUACUGCCGCGGCUGGAGCACUGUAGAGGCAGGCGGAAUUCCGGGUGUAGCGGUGGAAUGCGUAGAGAUCCGGAGGAACACCGGUGGCGAAGGCGGCAUCCUGGACCAACACUGACACUGAGGAGCGAAAGCCAGGGGAGCAAACGGG